UACGGAGGGUGCAAGCGUUGCUCGGAAUUACUGGGCGUAAAGCGUACGCAGGCUGUUCGUUAAGUCGGGUGUGAAAUCCCGGGGCUCAACCCCGGAAUUGCGCCCGAAACUGACGAGCUUGAGUGCGGGAGAGGGAAGCGGAAUUCCUGGUGUAGAGGUGAAAUUCGUAGAUAUCAGGAGGAACACCGGUGGCGAAAGCGGCUUCCUGGCCCGACACUGACGCUCAUGUACGAAAGCGUGGGGAGCAAACAGG
rnacentral:rRNA from 1 species